rnacentral:rRNA from 1 species
GGGAUAACGUUCUGAAAAGAACGCUAAUACCGCAUAAGAUUGUAGCUUCGCAUGGAGCAGCAAUCAAAGGAGCAAUCCGCUGAAAGAUGGACUCGCGUCCGAUUAGAUAGUUGGCGGGGUAACGGCCCACCAAGUCGACGAUCGGUAGCCGGACUGAGAGGUUGAUCGGCCACAUUGGGACUGAGACACGGCCCAGACUCCUACGGGAGGCAGCAGUGAGGGAUAUUGGGCAAUGGGGGAAACCCUGACCCAGCAACGCCGCGUGAGGGAUGACGGUUUUCGGAUUGUAAACCUCUGUCCUCUGUGAAGAUAGUGACGGUAGCAGAGGAGGAAGCUCCGGCUAACUACGUGCCAGCAGCCGCGGUAAUACGUAGGGAGCAAGCGUUGUCCGGAUUUACUGGGUGUAAAGGGUGCGUAGGCGGAUUGGCAAGUCAGAAGUGAAAUCCAUGGGCUUAACCCAUGAACUGCUUUUGAAACUGUUAGUCUUGAGUGAAGUAGAGGUAGGCGGAAUUCCCGGUGUAGCGGUGAAAUGCGUAGAGAUCGGGAGGAACACCAGUGGCGAAGGCGGCCUACUGGGCUUUAACUGACGCUGAGGCACGAAAGUGUGGGUAGCAAACAGGAUUAGAUACCCUGGCAGUCCACACUGUAA